rnacentral:rRNA from 1 species
CCUACGGGGGGCAGCAGUGGGGAAUAUUGCGCAAUGGGGGAAACCCUGACGCAGCAACGCCGCGUGGAGGAAGAAGGCUUUCGGGUUGUAAACUCCUGUCGUUGGGGAAGAAAAAAAUGACGGUACCCAAUAAGAAAGCCACGGCUAACUACGUGCCAGCAGCCGCGGUAAUACGUAGGUGGCGAGCGUUGACCGGAAUUAUUGGGCGUAAAGGGCGCGUAGGGGGCCCGGCAAGUCAGAUGGGAAGCCCCCAGGCUUAACCUGGGGCAUGCAUUUGAAACUGCAGGGCUUGAGUGGAGGAGAGGGAAGUGGAAUUCCUAGUGUAGCGGUGAAAUGCGUAGAUAUUAGGAGGAACAACAGUGGCGAAGGCGACUUACUGGACUGUAGCUGACGCUGAGGCGCGAGAGCGUGGGGAGCAAACAGGAUUAGAUACCCUUGUAGUC